GGCCUGGCAACCCGGUCCGCCUAUUCGGCGAGUACUGGCGUUGCUGGGUCUUUACCUUCUGUCGAACUAUGAUGCACUUUAUUGUGUGUUGUAGGGAACCAGGACUUUUACCUUGAAAAAAUUAGAGUGUUUAAAGCAGGCAAUCGCUUGAAUACAUUAGCAUGGAAUAAUGGAAUAGGACAUUGGUUCUAUUUUGUUGGUUUCUAGGACCUAUGUA
rnacentral:rRNA from 1 species